rnacentral:rRNA from 1 species
UACGUAGGGUGCAAGCGUUGUCCGGAAUUAUUGGGCGUAAAGAGCUCGUAGGCGGUCUGUCGCGUCGGCUGUGAAAUCCCGAGGCUCAACCUCGGGUCUGCAGUCGAUACGGGCAAACUAGAGUAUUGCAGGGGAGACUGGAAUUCCUGGUGUAGCGGUGAAAUGCGCAGAUAUCAGGAGGAACACCGGUGGCGAAGGCGGGUCUCUGGGCAAUAACUGACGCUGAGGAGCGCAAGCGUGGGGAGCGAACAGG